CUCAAUCGCUAGUCGAGCGAUUGAAGGCUGCCCCGAGUAAAGAUGCGGGACUCUGCAAAGCUGUUUGCAAACAGGUCCUUGCUGUUGUGAAGUCAUACUACCCGAGGGCGGACUUGGCGGCGGCUGGUGACGGCGUGGCUCGCAACUGCACAGAAGAAGCAUAUGCGCAGUACCUCGAGGAGGCAGAGCCUAUCACGUCAAAGAUGUCGGAGUUUGUC
rnacentral:lncRNA from 1 species